GACUCAAACUGCUGGGUAGCCAUCAGCCAUCGGAGAGACUCAGGGAAAAUCCUUCAAAGACACAAGGGGAACAGCUGAAUGGCUUGCACUCUGCUCUGCUUCAGUCAUGAGUUAUCCAGAAAGUCAGGAUGGACUCUGGUCCAUGUUGUGCACACAAAGCGGCCAUCUUUGUUCGCAGAAUUUCACAGGACAACAGCGAUGGACCCAGGGUCCAUAUUUGAUGGAUAUGCUCCUGAUCUUAAGCCUUAUGGAGGGAAACUGCUAUAAAUAUGACAAAGAAGCGGGUAAACCUGCAAACCACCUUCCAUCAGCAGACUGGUGACGGCAGGCACUGACUGUCCUACCAAUUUCCAGGCCAAGCUUCUGAUGAGGCCGUACUGCUAUUACUCAUUGGACAGCUGGAAAAGUUCAGGCGGGGGAUAGCUAAGAGCUGAGGACACGCAGUCAUCAAAUGGCAGAUUGGAUGAAUUGGAACUUACUCCCUUAACCUCAGACACAGCAAAGCAGCAAGCCAAACCAUCUGGACAGCUGAUGUUGGGGAAGUCCUGUCCUUACCAGGGUCUCCCAGGCAUUACAGAAGGCCUGCAAUGUGUGUUCUGAACACAGGUUUUAAGAUAUAUGCAGAGCCAUAAACAACCGAGCUGUUGCUCAUGAGAAGACCCAGACGCCUGUUUCAGUUUGGAACGUGGUGGAAACUUGAUGGAAUUUUCUCAGGAUACACGUAUGAUGUAAUGUCGUUCUAAAGUUUAAGAGCCCAGACAGAGCUAGGCAUGGAGGCUCACUACUAUAAUUUUAGUACUCAGAAUGCUGAGAUGGGGAGAAUUGCUUUGAAUUUAAGGCUAUUGGUCUACCUAGUGAGCUUCAGGCCUGCUUGCAAUAUAGAGUGAGACCCUGUCUCAAGAAUUCAAACCAAACCAAACCUGGCCACAGCUUGGGACCCGGGAAGAACAUAUCUCUGAAACUCAGAGAUAUGGAAUAUUUCAACCAAAAAAUAAUAAAACAAAACAAAGCAGAUGAAAGCCACAUCUGCCCAGUGUACCUCAUGCUUAAAAGGCCAUGGAAUGUAAGUAAGUAAAAGGAUCUCUGAUUGGGUGGCAUGCAGGUUGUGUGAUCAGCUCUUCAUGAAAGAGCUGCAGGCCUGACUCACAGCAGGGAAUUCCAGGAGAGGAUCCAUGCUGGUCUAGGCUGUGGGGAGCAGAGAGGGCCAACAGCCACCACUGGGAAAGGUGGCAGAGUGCAGAGGCAGUCCAACUACUUCUGGUCAUCACAGGAGCUUCCUACACAACAAGUGCCUCUGAUAUUAUCCUGCUGUCUUGACACAGGAGCUUGGUAGUGCCCAAGAGCAGCAAAGUGGCAAAACAACUUCAGUGCCAGGUAGGGAUUUCUGUUUGGCAUGUGUCCCUGUGGCCAAUGACCUAAACCUUUCUUCCCUGCUCUAGUACUGACAUGCUGUUAGGCACCAAUGCUAGCACAGAUAAGUCUUGGAACUUGGCCUUCAGAAAUCUUUUUAUAUGGUGCACAUUUACAUGAGGGUGGCUCAGGAAGACGCUAGCCAAGACCGAGCACCUGAGUCCUAUCCUCAUGACCCGCAUGGUGGAAGGAUUGAAUCAGCUCCUGCUUGUUGUCUUCUGACUUCCACCUGUUUGCUAUGGAACACACCAACGCACACACUACACACACGCUACACACACACACACACACACACUACACACACACACACACCAACACACACACUACACACAAACUACACACACACUACACACACACUACAUACACACUACACGCACACACACACUACACACACACA